GGCUCAGAACGAACGCUGGCGGCAGGCUUAACACAUGCAAGUCGAGCGCCCCGCAAGGGGAGCGGCAGACGGGUGAGUAACGCGUGGGAAUCUACCCUUUUYUACGGAAUAACGCAGGGAAACUUGUGCUAAUACCGUAUAAGCCCUUCGGGGGAAAGAUUUAUCGGGAAAGGAUGAGCCCGCGUUGGAUUAGCUAGUUGGUGGGGUAAAGGCCUACCAAGGCGACGAUCCAUAGCUGGUCUGAGAGGAUGAUCAGCCACAUUGGGACUGAGACACGGCCCAAACUCCUACGGGAGGCAGCAGUGGGGAAUAUUGGACAAUGGGCGCAAGCCUGAUCCAGCCAUGCCGCGUGAGUGAUGAAGGCCCUAGGGUUGUAAAGCU
rnacentral:rRNA from 1 species